rnacentral:rRNA from 1 species
GCAACUCGCCUACAUGAAGUCGGAAUUGCUAGUAAUCGCGGAUCAGCAUGCCGCGGUGAAUACGUUCCCGGGCCUUGUACACACCGCCCGUCACACCAUGAGAGCCGGUAACACCCGAAGUCAGUAGCCUAACCGCAAGGGGGGCGCUGCCGAAGGUGGGAUUGGUAAUUGGGGUGAAGUCGUAACAAGGUACC